CCCUGCCUUUUGUACACACCGCCCGUCGCUACUACCGAUUGAAUGGCUUAGUGAGAUCUCCGGAUUGGCGUUAGGGAGCCGGCAACGGCACCCUUUGGCCGAGAAGUUGAUCAAACUUGGUCAUUUAG
rnacentral:rRNA from 1 species